UGUAAGCAAUCAUAACUGUUACAUACUGCUGGAUGAAUUUUUUUUCCCACCAGAUACCAUUACUUCUCACUGGAAAUGAAAGAUUUCUGGCACAUGGCAUUCUAAAGGAUCUAUGACCUAAUGUUUGUGUGUCUUACUGCAAUGGUGGAAAUCAGGAGUAAGAGAGUGGAGACCAGCAGAUGACAGCAGAGUGGAAUGGUAGCAAUAAAGGAGACCCAGAACCAUCUGUGCCAAGAGAGCUGAGAGAUGUGGAGCCAAUAAACAGCAAAACAUUGCCAGUUGACCAAGUUGGAGAGGUAUUCCUCUCUAUACAACUCACUUCAGAACAGAAAUCACCUGAGGAGUAGCACCCAUCAUCCCUGCCAUAAAAGUCUAUGGGCAAAUGUGGUACACAAAUGUAAUUGACUACUGUGAUAUAGGGAAAAGACUUACAUGAAAUGAUGUGGAGUGAAGUAAGCAGAGGUUAAGAUAGCCAAUGACUAGAACAAUACGAAUGGAAAGAACUACAGCCACAAAACAAAACAAAAAAUAAUGCUGC